UUCCCCUGUCAAUGGGCAGAGACACCUUGUUGUUGUUCUUAUAUCAGUCAGGGCAGAGUAGAUGGAGAUGGCAGUCCUUUGCUCAUACUAGCCUGGUGCCUAGCUUGGUGGCCAAAGCUGUUUUAUGCCUAGGACACAUAA